rnacentral:tRNA from 1 species
GAAGUAUUAGUAAAACAAUUACAUAA